GAUGAAGAACGGUAGCGAAAUGCGAUAAGUAAUGUGAAUUGCAGAAUUCAGUGAAUCAUCGAAUCUUUGAACGCACAUUGCGCCCGCCAGUAUUCUGGCGGGCAUGCCUGUUCGAGCGUCAUUUCAACCAUCAAGCCCUGCUUGCGUUGGGGUCCUGCGGCUGCCCGCAGGCCCUGAAAACCAGUGGCGGGCUCGCUAGUCACACCGAGCGCAGUAAUACAUCUCGCUUUGGGCGUGCGGCGGGUUCUUGCCGUUAAACACCCCCUUUUUACCAAGGUUGACCUCGGAUCAGGUAGGAAUACCCGCUGAACUUAAGCAUAUCAAUAAGCGGAGGA
rnacentral:misc_RNA from 1 species